AUUGAACGCUGGCGGCAGGCCUAACACAUGCAAGUCGAACGCGUGGCGGACGGGUGAGUAAUGUCUGGGCAACUGCCCGAUGGAGGGGGCUACCUACUGGAAACGGUAGCUAAUACCGCAUACCAUCGGAUGUGCCCAGAUGGGAUUAGCUAGUAGGUGGGGUAACGGCUCACCUAGGCGCCGAUCCCUAGCUGGUCUGAGAGGAUGACAAGCAAAACUGGAAAUGAGACACGGUCCAGACGCCUACGGGAGGCAGCAGUGGGGAAGAUGGCACAAUGGGCGCAAGCCUGAUGCAGCCAGGCCGCGGGUAUGAAGAAGGCCUUCGGGUUGUAAAGGACUUUCAGCGAGGAGGCGUUACUCGCAGAAGAAGCAUCGGCGAACUCCGUGCCAGCCGCCGCGGUAAUAC
rnacentral:rRNA from 1 species